rnacentral:rRNA from 1 species
GGUGAACGCUGGCGGUAGGCCUAACACAUGCAAGUCGAGCGGCCGCACAGUAAGCGCUUGCUCUUACGGGUGGCGGGUGGCGGGCGGGUGAGGAAUACAUCGGAAUCUACUUUUUCGUGGGGAUAACGUAGGGAACCUUACGCUAAUACCGCAUACUACCUACGGGUGAAAUCAGGUGAUCUUCGGACCUUUUGCGGUCGCAUGAGCCGAUGUCGGAUUAGCUAGUUGGCGGGGUAAAGGCCCACCAAGGCGACGAUCCGUAGCUGGUCUGAGAGGAUGAUCGGCCACACUGGAACUGAGACACGGUCCAGACUCCUACGGGAGGCAGCAGUGGGGAAUAUUGGGCAAUGGGCGCAAGCCUGAUCCAGCCAUACCGCGUGGGUGAAGAAGGCCUUCGGGUUGUAAAGCCCUUUUGUUGGGAAAGAAAAGCAGCAGGUGAAUACCCCGCUGUUCUGACGGUACCCAAAGAAUAAGCACCGGCUGACUUCGUG